CACAGACUCGAGCUGAAGUCCACCUUAUUCUGUCUGCUGUUAAUGAUCUCUAAUCUUCACGGCUUUACAUGAAAAAUGAUGCUCUGUGCCAUUAAAUAUUGGAUACUGUGCCUUUCUGUGUGGAACUUUCUACGUACUAAUGGUGAAAAUACCUGCAGAAAUGAACUCGUAAACCGCAUCAACAUCUCUACUGAUCUGCAGUCUGAUGUUCUGCUGCCCUGUAACUUCAACUCAAGCCUCCUCGGGUCAGAUCUGACUGCAGAUAUAGCAGCAGUGUGGAGUUAUAAAAAUAUAACAGAGGAUAAUCUACUGGAGAUCAGUCUGCAGGGUGUAGUAAUGUUCUGGAAUAACAGAGGGGGACGAAUUAACCCGUUCCCUAAACUCUCAACAUCUGGAAACUUCUCCAUCCUCCUCCAUAAAGUGAAUAAAUCUGAUCUGGGUCUGUACCGCUGUGAACUGUUUAACGGGACCAACUGCAGAAUUGCUUAUCAGGAAAUGGUCUUAGUUUCAGCUCCCCAUGAAAACAGUGUUCUUUUAAAGAAGUGGCUCUUCUUAGCAGGAGGAGGAGCUGCUGUUCUCACUUUGCUUGUGGUUUUACUCUACUGUUUACGGCACUCAUGCAAAAG
rnacentral:lncRNA from 1 species